rnacentral:rRNA from 1 species
GCUUGUCUCAAAGAUUAAGCCAUGCAUGUCUAAGUACAAGCCUCAGUAAGGUGAAACCGCGAAUGGCUCAUUAAAUCACACCUAAUCUACUGGAAAGUUACUAGUUACUUGGAUAACUGAGGUAAUUCUUGAGCUAAUACAUGCAUCAACCCCCGACUUUUGAAGGGGUGUAUUUAUUAGAUUGAAACCAAUGCGGGUUCGCCCGGUAUUUGGUGAUUCAUAAUAACUUUCGGAUCGACUUCGGUCGAUGCAUCAUUCAAGUUUCUGCCCUAUCAGCUUUGGAUGGUAGGGUAUUGGCCUACCAUGGCUUUAACGGGUAACGGAGAAUUAGGGUUCGAUUCCGGAGAGGGAGCCUGAGAAAUGGCUACCACAUCCAAGGAAGGCAGCAGG